rnacentral:rRNA from 1 species
AUCGAACGCUGGCGGCAGGCCUAACACAUGCAAGUCGAACGAGUGGCGGACGGGCGAGUAAGGUCUGGGAAACUGCGUGAUGGAGGGGGAUAACGAGUGGAAACGGUAGCAAAUACCGCAUACAAUAGGAUCUGCCCAGAUGGGAGUAUCUAGUAGGUGGGGUAACGGCUCACCUAGGGGACGCUCCCUAGCUGGUCUGAGAGGAUGACCCGCCACCCUGGGACUGAUACACGGCCCAGACUCCUACGGGAGGCAGCAGUGGGGAAUCUUGCACAAUUGGCGCAAGCCUGAUGCAGCCAUGCCGCGUGUAUGAAGAAGGUCUUCGGGUUGUAAAGUACUUUCAUCAGGGAGGCGUUACCUGCCGAAGAAGCACCGGCUAACUCCGUGCCAGCAGCCGCGGUAAUAC